ensembl:lncRNA
CAAAGCUGCAGUGCUGCUCCACGGAGCCUAUUUUCUCUUAGGAGCAGCACACCAGGUUCCCCCUUCUGAGACUUACAGUCAUACGUCUACACACUUCACUUCUCUAAUCUGAGAACGUAGGGAACUGGUAAUCCAUCUUAACAGUCAAGCAUCUAGAGUCCUCUCCUACCUCUCCAUACAAUGGGAAGAAAAAGACUGCAAUGCUCCCCUGGAUACCUCAACAACCGAUGAGUUUGGGUUUCGGAUUCCUCCCACUGGAGGUUUUCCUGGAAAAUUAAUAGUGGGGAUUUAACAGAAGAAUACCAGUGAUACAUACAAGAUGUGUACACAUUUUUCUUUUGAAAUUACGUCUAAGGUGGUCUUCAGUACUGAGUGAUUUUUCCUACUGUAUAUGAAGUGACUCACUGGGACAUUGGCACUGUUCGUUAUUUUCCUGCUGUUUGAAAAAAAAAUUAAAGAAGCGAGUGUGAAGAGGCCUCUGCAGACUGGCUCCAUCUGUGCUUCCUCAGCGGCUCCUGGGCUGUCAGAGUCAAGGACAGCUAGCGCUCUCCAUGUUCCAGCACCACGUGCUCCUGAUGGGCCAUUGUUUGCCUACAGGCUAUUGUUGUUUCAAGUUGUCACUUAAAGGAGAUGUUAUGUUUCUGGCUGCCAGGUCGCUCUGCCCUCAGAAGUGGUGUUUAUAACUUCUCUACGGCCUUUUGCAGAGGUUGGCCGGCUGGCUGACACCCCAUUGGCUGUGACUGAAGGAGACCUGAGCAGCUCUUCUUUUCCUGGUGACUGCUAGGUUCUUUUCAUUUCCUCUCAUUGCUCCACACUAAACAGCAAGGUUUAUAUAGCCACCUUCACUGCUAUAGAGAAGAAUGUUUAGUUCCUUUACGCAAUAAAGUUUGAUUAAUAGCUGAGGUUUGGAGGAGACAAAAGAGGAAAUUUCUGUUAAGAUACAAAAAGGUUUCUGAGGGAAGCAGACAAUUGGAGCAAAAGAACUUGUAGAAUUGCUGUAUAGAUCAUUAAGUAAUUAUAGGUCUUAAUCAUCUACACAUUUCAGGAGAAAAGCCAUGCUGUGAAUCGGAUCUGCUCAGCCAGCUUACAGACUGGUAUAAAGCUGAGAAGUAAAUGUAUGGGUAGUCAUAAUCAUUUCCUUAAUCGGGUGGCACCGCUGUGUGUAAUGAUAUUCUGAAAGCAAAUCUGAGACAUGUGACAACUUUAAUACUAUUGGGUCAAACAAAAUGCAGACGUUCCUGAAGUUCAGGAAUCUAAAAACAAAUGUGUGGAACAUUAAGAGAAAGAUUAAGGAAAAAAUACCAUCUACAAUAGCCUAAACAGAAUAAUAAACCUGACAACCUGAGCUGAGUAUUUAAAAAAGUAUUUGCAUACUUCCAGAAUUGCUGUGCUGUUAAAAAAAAAAAAAAAUCUCUCAAACUGUGCUCCAUUCAUCAACCCCUCUCAUUAUCAUGGGCUCUCACCCCACUUGACUCACAGGUGCCAGGCCACAGCACAAGCCAGCAGUUGGGAGUCCUUCACCCAAGGACUUUCAGCUGCUGUGGAGCACCCAUUAUAUCCCUUUCCUAACAUUUACAUUCAUCUCCAAAGAAAAAUACACAAACCCACUUGGCAUGAAACCUAAUAAAAAAGAGAGGUUCAAUUCCUUUUUAGGGAGAUUUGCAGGAGACUCAAGUUGAGGCGUUCUAAGAGUGCAUUUGAGAUCUGGCCACAAGUGCCCUCAUCCAACACUCUGCAGUGGAAAUUUUCCCCCAUCCCAGAGGAUUUCUUAAUUUUUUUUUUUUUACUAUUACACACAUAAAUAUAAAAAAAUAGGGACAGUCUAGAUCAGACUAAAUCACUUUUGUGCAAAUCCCACUCAAAUCAUUAUGAGUUGCCUGCUCUUCAUGCUAUUUAUUUCCCUUUCUUUUUGUUAAGCAAGUUAUUUCUGCUCAGUAGGCUUAUAAAACUUAUUACAUGUCUCAGGGACACGAGAAAGUUAUUAAAUAAGCCUAAAAUUUGCUUGCUCCCUACCAAUAGGUUUUUCUGUCACUGUCAAUCAUGAAAACAGAAACUCAAAACAAACAGCACCUAUGCAUCAUAUUCAGUGAUAAAAUCCUCUUGAACAUUUACCUGAUGUCCCCAAGUGACUGAGAAGUGUGCAUCCUACUAACACAGCCACAAAACUGAGCAGUGGAAAGACAAGCAAAAGCAAUCAAUAUGAUAAAAACUUGUUUUUUAUCUGACAAAAUAAGCUUCUACUGACAAAAAGAC